rnacentral:misc_RNA from 1 species
UACAAAGAACAAAUGUCAGUGAGAUGCUGCAGGAAGCUUCCAAAAGCUUUUGAUUGCAACCAGAAUCUUUUCUCUCCCUUGUGAUCCCGGUUCUUUCUCAUGUAUAGUAGCUGUCCAUCUUACAGCAUGAGCUAUGUGAGCCACUUUGUCAAUAACUUCAGGAGUAUCACGAAUCAUAACAGUUCCUUCUGGUCGUAACAUUCGAUCCAUCUCCACUAUCAAAUCCACAAGGCUACACCUGUUCUUGCUUGAAACUGGACUUUUUAUAAGUGAUUCAAUGCCGGCUACAUGGAUGAGAUCAUAUGUACGAGGAUAUGUUGAGAAAGGCUCACACCAAUCAUGGUAGACGCCAAUAAGGCCUCGGUCAAAAAUUACACCAAGCGUAGAAAGCUUGCCAGCAGGAACAACAUUCAUUACCCAUACAGGAUCAGAUGCAAGUGCUGCAGCAAAACCCCCAAAAAAUGCAUU